GAUGAAGAACGCAGUGAAAUGCGAAAAGUAAUGUGAAUUGCAGAAUUCAGUGAACCAUCGAAUCUUUGAACGCACAUUGCGCGCGCUGGAACUCCGGCGGGCACGCCUGUCCGAGCGUCAUUUCAACCCUCAGGCCCCCCUUCGCGGGCGGGCCUGGUGUUGGGGCCCGGCCGCUACCCUGCGGCCGUCCCCUAAAUCCAGUGGCGGCCUCGCCGUGAUCCCUUGCGUAGUAAUGCACCUCGCACCGGAGAGCGCCGUGGCCACGCCGUAAAACCCCCAAUUUUCAAUGGUUGACCUCGGAUCAGGUGGGAAUACCCGCUGAACUUAAGCAUAUCAAUAAGCGGAGGA
rnacentral:misc_RNA from 1 species